rnacentral:hammerhead_ribozyme from 1 species
ACACUACUGAGGAGUCCUACCUUAGGACGAAACGGCCGUCCAGUGC